rnacentral:rRNA from 1 species
GAUGAACGCUGGCGGCGUGCCUAAUACAUGCAAGUCGAGCGAACGGACGAGAAGCUUGCUUUUCUGAUGUUAGCGGCGGACGGGUGAGUAACACGUGGAUAACCUACCUAUAAGACUGGGAUAACUUCGGGAAACCGGAGCUAAUACCGGAUAAUAUUUUGAACCGCAUGGUUCAAAAGUGAAAGACGGUCUUGCUGUCACUUAUAGAUGGAUCCGCGCUGCAUUAGCUAGUUGGUAAGGUAACGGCUUACCAAGGCAACGAUGCAUAGCCGACCUGAGAGGGUGAUCGGCCACACUGGAACUGAGACACGGUCCAGACUCCUACGGGAGGCAGCAGUAGGGAAUCUUCCGCAAAGGGCGAAAGCCUGACGGAGCAACGCCGCGUGAGAGAUGAAGGUCUUCGGAUCGUAAAACUCUGUUAUUAGGGAAGAACAUAUGUGUAAGUAACUGUGCACAUCUUGACGGUACCUAAUCAGAAAGCCACGGCUAACUACGUG